GCCACCGUAGCUCAGCUGGUAGAGCUACUGAUUUGUAAUCAGUGGGUCGGGGGUUCAAAUCCCUUCGGUGGCUCCA
rnacentral:tRNA from 1 species